rnacentral:pre_miRNA from 1 species
CAUGUACUCCCUCCGUUCCAAAUUACUUGUCGUGGUUUUAGUUCAAAUUUGAACUAAAACCACGACAAGUAAUUUGGAACGGAGGGAGUAUAUC